CAAAUACUCCCUCCGUCCGGAAAUAGUUGUCAUCAAAAUGGAUAAAAGGAAAUGUAUCUAGAUGUAUUUUAGUUUUAGAUACAUCUCUUUUUAUCCAUUUUGAUGACAAGUAUUUUCGGACGGAGGGAGUAGAAA
rnacentral:pre_miRNA from 1 species